AAACAGUCGGUGCGAAGUCGUAACAUGGU
rnacentral:sRNA from 1 species